UGAAAAACUCAAGUUCUAAGUUUUAAUUUAUAAUCCUCGAACUUUUAAUCGUGGCUAAUGUGAAUUAUUUCUAUUUUAUAGUAGAGUGGUAAGUGACAAACAAAAUAUAAGAUAGCGGCUGCAAGAGUCAAAUGCCGGCGCUGUGCACCUUUGCUCUACGCCGCCAAAUUUCUACCCUCUCAACGGUUAACUUGAACAAAACGAUCAACAGCUUCAUUGGUAACGGAAACCUCCAAGAAGCUCGGAAGCUCUUCGAUCAAAGCCCCCACUUGACAAAUGUCGUAUCAUGGAAUUCCCUUAUCGCUGGUUACUUCAAACACAAUCUCAUCCAACAAGCAGAGUACCUGUUUGACAAAAUGCCUCACAGAGAUGUCGUUUCUUGGAACACCAUGCUCUCCGGAUAUCGCAACGCCAACAACCCAGAGAAAGUAUAUAGAUGUUUUCUAGAUAUGAACAGAUGUGGAGACAUGAGACCCAAUGAGCUCACUUUCGCGGUGUCAAUUAGCUCCUUCUUACAUUUGUAUUACAAGCAUUUGAUCCCUCAACUUCACGGUAUCGUGCUCUGUUUGGGGAUAAGUCUCAAUGUCUUUGUAGGGUCAGCAUUGAUGAGGGGUUAUGUUGAUUUGGAUGAUUACAGAGGUUUAGCUCGAGUUUUUGAUGAGAUUUUGGAUAAAGAUGUUACGCCGUGGAAUGUGUUGAUUUUGGGUUAUAUGAAAUUUGGGUGCACAAGUGAGGCGCAGAGGGCUUUUGAUAUGAUGCCUAUGAGAAAUUAUUUUACUUGGAGUACUUUGAUCAAUGGAUAUAUUGAGAACAAGAAGCUUAAUGAAGCUCGAUUCGUUUUUGAUAAGAUGAGUGAGAAAGAUGUGGUUUCUUGGACAGCAAUGAUAAGAGGGUACGUGCAAUAUGGAGAGUUUAUGAAGGCUUUGAAAUUAUUUAAGUUGAUGUUGAACUCGGGUUCUCGUCCUAAUCAUUUUACGUUUUCAACUGUUUUAGAUGCCUGUGCAGGCUACUCUGCUGUUCUGGUAGGCAAUCAAGUUCAUGCGUGCAUCUUGAAGUCUGGUUUCCCUCUUGAUGUCGUCUUGUUGACCUCCCUUCUUGACAUGUACGCUAAAUGUGGAGACAUUGAAGUUGCUUUCUGCAUUUUUGAGUCUAUCCCGGCAAGGAAUUUGGUAGCUUGGAAUUCGAUCAUUGGAGGUUAUGCAAGACAUGGGCUUGCAGAGAGGGCAAUGCAGGAGUUUGAGAGGAUGCUAAAGAGUGGUAUCAGGCCUGAUGAAAUUACUUUUAUUAAUUUGGUAUAUGCAUGUGGCCAUGGUGGGCUAGUCGAGGACGGUGAGAGAAUUUUCAAUUCUAUGGUAACAGAGUACGGAUUGAAAGCAGAGAUGGAACACUAUGCAUGUAUGGUGGACUUGUAUGGAAGGGCAGGUCAGCUUGAGAAAGCAGAAAAACUAAUCGAUGGGAUGCCUUUUAAGCCUGAUGUGGUCGUCUGGGGGGCAUUGCUAGGAGCAUGUGGCUUGCACUCAUGUCUAGAGCUCGGAGAGAUUGCAGCAAAUGGAAUCUACACAUUGGAACACGACCAUCCUGCAGUAUACUCGGUGCUUUCCAAAAUCUAUGGAGACAAAGGAGUCUGCAGUGACAUAACUGGUUUGGAUAAGUUGAUGAAGAAAUGGCGUGCUACAAAGCAGAAGGCUGGUAGUUGGAUCGAAUCUCCUUCCAUAAACUGAAAUGUUUGUCUACUAUGAGGCAAGUAACUUUCUACACAAUGUUUCCAUUAAGAAACUAACGUCCAAUUCUGGCAAACCGACACAAAUGAUCAGAAAUGGUGCUUUCUUCCAAGGUUCAUAUCCAAGUAUUUGUGUCAGUACCGCUGUUGAAAAUUUCGAGCAGGAGAAGCAGUCUUCCAAUGAAUUCCUUCUUGAUGAAUGCCUCGUUGAGGUAUUCAAAUGUCUUUCCAGUGGCCAAGAGAGAAGUGCUUGUGCUUGUAUUUCCAAGCGUUGGCUUAUGCUUUUAAGCAGCAUCCGCAGGGAUGAAGCAUUUGCCUUCAAGCCCAAUCUGAAUGCUGAAGAGGAAUCUACUCAGCGUACCCAAGUUAAAAUUGGUGAGAUUGCAGAAUCUGCUGGUGUAGAAGGUGAGGGAUAUCUUGCCAGGUCCCUUGCUGGCAGGAAGCCACAGAUGUCAGACUUGCUGCUAUUGCCAUUGGAACUGCAAACCUUGGAGGCUUAGUAAAGCUAUCUAUCUAGGGAGACAACCUUUGUCGUGGUGUGACUGAUACUGGUCUCAACGCUAUCGCUCGAGGUUGCCCUACUCUCAAACAUCUUUUCCUAUGGGAUUUGUCUUCUGUUGGUGAUGAAGGCUUAUCUGAGGUUGCUCAUGAGUGUCAUCUGUUAGAGAAGCUUGAUCUUUUCCAAUGCCCAACAAUUACUGACAAGUCUUUACUCGAAAUUGCGGUGAACUGCCCCAAAAUGACCUCUAUAACAAUGGAUUCUUGUUCAAACAUUGGGAAUGAGUCUCUCAAAGCUGUCGGUCAAUAUUGCCUGAACCUGAAGCUUGUUGUAUUUAGAAAUUGCCCACUCUAGAAUGAAGCUGUUAUCAAGAUGUUUGCCAUACUUCUCUGAGAAUGCACAUCCUGGAUUUUUUUGGUCCUGGCUCCUUUGCCAGUAGUUUUUAGCUUCUAGCACUGCAUUGCUGAGAAAAUUGUGCUACAAUAAAAACUUUUUUCACCAUCUCUUAUGUUCCUGUUUAGUUUGGAGUGAAUUUAUUUGAAGGUUU